rnacentral:lncRNA from 1 species
UUGUCUUUCAUCUUUUUUUUCAGGUGAAAGGUUUACUUAUACGUUUUCCACAAAUGAAACCAACUAAAAUCUCCUAAGCUCGGAAAUGAAGCACAGAGUCUGUCUGAAGGAGGCUGGCUCAUCAGAGCUGCUCAGCUGCAGAGCGUACACUGAGGCUCUGCCACCCACCACUUGAACAUGAGACGGGUUCCAAUUAAAAGGAAGCCAAGCAGGAAUAAAUAUGAAUGGCAGCCAAUCUUCUACCAACUCUUCAUACCAGAGUAUUACAAAGGGCAGAGGAAGGUAUAUGCUAUUGUCUUGGCAUUUUGGACACUACUAUCUGUGGAGUUAAAAACAAUAAAACAAC